ACUUAUUUAGUAUAAAAGUAUAUUUGACUUCCAAUCAGAAGGACUAAACCCGAUUUAGAAUAAGUA
rnacentral:tRNA from 1 species